rnacentral:misc_RNA from 1 species
UUUCCGUAGGUGAACCUGCGGAAGGAUCAUUAGUGAAUUGAAUAUGUUAGCGGACCUCUUCGGAGUCCCUAGCAUCAAAUCAUAUCCAUAACACCUGUGAACUGUAAGGCUGUCUUGAAAACGAAAGUGAUUAGAGCGCCUGCCCAUUUUAUACAAACAUUAAAGUAACAAACGUAGUCUUAUUAUAAUCUAAUAAACUUUCAACAACGGAUCUCUUGGCUCUG